CACACGAGUGCUGGUCCGGCGGCGUCGGCCUCCUAGUUCCCUCCGGCGUUACGUUGGGCGCACCGUAGUGGAUGAGCUGACCGGUUACUGGUGCUCCAAGUGCGUCGCUGUUGUGGGAAAAAAAUCAGAGUUAAGUAGUAACUGUGCACAGUCUUCUAAACCAAACUCAGAUCAGGAAGAUGAUGUUCACAGGAAUGAGGCUUGGAAAUCUGAUCAAGAUAACUCUGUGUGUGCCUAAUACAAUUCCAGACCAAGAAGGAGAAUUUAUUCAGGUAUUCUUCAUGUAAGGCACAAAGAUAACCUUUCUCUCUGCUGCACCUGAAUAUCCGGGGUCUCCUUCCCCACCUUCUGAACUAAGACCUGAAGCCACAGUAUCUGAGAAGCAGCUCACUUUGGAAUCUCUCCACUCCAGGGGACUCCAGUAUUGCAACAGCUUGGAGUUAACAAUCUCCAGCAGCAUUCCUUUGAUCUUUUCAUGCAGGUUUGAAUG
rnacentral:lncRNA from 1 species